rnacentral:rRNA from 1 species
AACGAACGCUGGCGGCAGGCCUAACACAUGCAAGUCGAGCGAGAUUUUCGGAUCUAGCGGCGGACGGGUGAGUAACACGUAGGUAACCUGCCCCAAAGCGGGGGAUAACAUUUGGAAACAGAUGCUAAUACCGCAUAACAAUUUGAAUCGCAUGAUUCAAGUUUGAAAGGCGGCGUAAGCUGUCACUUUAGGAUGAGCCCGCGGCGCAUUAGCUAGUUGGUGGGGUAAAGGCCUACCAAGGCUGUGAUGCGUAGCCGAGUUGAGAGACUGAUCGGCCACAAUGGAACUGAGACACGGUCCAUACUCCUACGGGAGGCAGCAGUAGGGAAUCUUCCACAAUGGGCGCAAGCCUGAUGGAGCAACACCGCGUGAGUGAAGAAGGGUUUCGGCUCGUAAAGCUCUGUUGUUAGAGAAGAACGUGCGUGAGAGUAACUGUUCACGCAGUGACGGUAUCUAACCAGAAAGUCACGGCUAACUACGUG